GCUCAGGAUGAACGCUAGCGGCAGGCCUAAUACAUGCAAGUCGAGGGGCAGCAGUACUUUUCGGAGUAGCUGGCGACCGGCGCACGGGUGCGUAACGCGUAUGCAAUCUACCCACAGCAGAGGGAUAGCCCGUGGAAACAUGGAUUAAUACCUCAUAACACAGNGAGCCCACCUGGGCAUAUUGUUAAAGCUACGGCGGCAGUGGAUGAGCAUGCGUCCCAUUAGUUAGUUGGUAAGGUAACGGCUUACCAAGACGAUGAUGGGUAGGGGUUCUGAGAGGAUGAUCCCCCACACUGGUACUGAGAUACGGACCAGACUCCUACGGGAGGCAGCAGUAGGGAAUAUUGGUCAAUGGACGGAAGUCUGAACCAGCCAUGCCGCGUGCAGGAAGACGGCCUUCUGGGUUGUAAACUGCUUUUCUCAGGGAAGAAAAAGGCCUUGCGAGGCAAAUUGCCGGUACCUGAGGAAUAAGCACCGGCUAACUCCGUGCCAGCAGCCGCGGUAAUACGGAGGGUGCGAGCGUUGUCCGGAUUUAUUGGGUUUAAAGGGUGCGUAGGCGGCCUAUUAAGUCAGUGGUGAAAGGUAUCAGCUUAACUGAUGACGUGCCAUUGAAACUGAUAGGCUUGAGUACAGACGAGGUAGGCGGAAUUUAUGGUGUAGCGGUGAAAUGCAUAGAUACCAUAAAGAACACCGAUAGCGAAGGCAGCUUACUAGACUGAGACUGACGCUGAGGCACGAAAGCGUGGGGAGCGAACAGGAUUAGAUACCCUGGUAGUCCACGCUGUAAACGAUGAUUACUGGAUGUGUGCGAUAGACAGCACGCGUCUGAGCGAAAGCGUUAAGUAAUCCACCUGGGGAGUACGAUCGCAAGAUUGAAACUCAAA
rnacentral:rRNA from 1 species